rnacentral:rRNA from 1 species
GCGUGAGUGAUGAAGGCCUUAGGGUUGUAAAGCUCUUUCAGCGGGGAAGAUAAUGACGGUACCCGCAGAAGAAGCCCCGGCUAACUUCGUGCCAGCAGCCGCGGUAAUACGAAGGGGGCUAGCGUUGUUCGGAAUCACUGGGCGUAAAGCGCGUGUAGGCGGAUCGUUAAGUCGGGGGUGAAAUCCUGAGGCUCAACCUCAGAACUGCCUUCGAUACUGGCGAUCUUAGAGUCCGGGAGAGGUGAGUGGAACUCCUAGUGUAGAGGUGAAAUUCGU